rnacentral:lncRNA from 1 species
GAUCAUUCCUUGAUAGAUUUGAAGUAUUGGAUAUUUUAUCAACCCUAAAAAAGCCAAAAUCAUGACCAAAUAGAUUUCAUCAACCAACAUCAAUAAAGGCAUGAAAAGUCAACAAAAUAGAUCAAAAUAAAAUAAACAAAGUGUAGAAUAAAAUAAAAGGGAAAAAUAAGUCAAGUAUGUUCACAAAAUAUUUUGAUUAAAAUUAAUAUGUGUGGUGAAAUAAAUAAAAUAAAAAUGAAAGAAAA